CGCCGCCGAAGUUUGAACUGCGCCCGCAGCCGCUCCCUAUUGGCCCGCGAGGACGCACGCCGUGCGUGGAGCGCACCACUCUCAUGCGCUGGCGGGGGAGCAGCCGAGGGAAGCACAGUCAGGAGCAGACGUUGGAGAAGGACAGACUGGAACUGCAGCAGGAGCUGGAGGAAUCACAAAAUUCUGCUUUCUGCUGUUUUACAGUAGCAGCUGUGCACAAUAUUGUCAAAGAAUAUGUCAAUAAGAAUAUAUCUCAAGGAAGAAUGUAUGUCAAAGAAUAUAUCAAGAAUUAUGGUCACUUUAGAUAAAAAAACAUUCCUUUUAUAAAAAGAAAAUAAACUUGGAUGCAAUAUUCCAUGCUGAACUGGCAUAUGGGAGAUGUUAUAAACCUUACUUUCUGUUUAUCACCUCUAGAACAUCCCUGAUUAUAACGGUUCAGGAUAUUGGAUUUACAUCAGGAAAAAAUCUCAACUAAGUAACCAGAUGGGUUUUCUUCUUCGGAACUAGACAUGGAGGAGCUCAGCUGUGAAGAGGUUAGUGGUGCUGUGACUGCAACUAUUUGUACGGUCAGGAGAGGCAGCACUACAGAGGAGACCACAACUUCCUCCCUUUCUCCCUUCCCUUCUCACCAUCCGUCCACCCCUUCCCUGGUAUAUUUGGUACCUGUUUCACUCCGAUAAGAACUCACCAUCUCUUCAUCUAGUUCUUCAUGAUCUUCUUCUCCACUCUCCUUGAAGAACAAAGCUUUACACUUUUCUGCAGCUUCAAAUGUUGGAGGGAUCAGAUGUUCGUCUCGAAGAGUGUCCAUUUUUUUCCGGAACUGUGCCCACUUCACAUCCUGGCUGAUAGUCUCAAUUAUGUCUACUGUAUUUGUGGGCUGUUCAUCCAGGAUCUUUGUUAGUAUGUUAGCAAAAUGAUCGUAUCUGUCAUAUAAAUGUAAAUAUUGUUGGCUUACUAUACAAAAGUCUUAGAAUAUUAAGCUUUUAGUAAAAAAAGUAAAGACUAAUCAUCUGGAUCUUUGGAGAAAUCAUUGGAACAGAAAGGGGAUCAUGGAGCCUUAAAGCAAAUAAGGGUUAAAACUUGUCUGAUUAUACUUAAGAGCAUUCCCAUCCUCUAUUUCUAGUAUAUACCACAUCUAUCUAUGAGCUGAAUCUGAACUUAAACUUAUUCUCAAUAUCAACUUGUUUUUGAACUCUAUAAAAUUCCAGUAGGGAUUUUGUUUCUGAGAGGUGUUGGACACUAGUAUGCAAGUUUCACUAGUGAUGAAAUAUUGCACAUACAACACUAUCCCAUUCUGUAUGUACUUCCCUUUGUCCUUUUACUUUUCUCUCCACUUAUACUUCCUACCCGAUUUGACUGUGAUCCUUUUUCAGACUUACAAGUUCAGGCCAGAUUUUGUGCUGGUCUUCAGUAAAUAGGCUUUUGCAUUCUUGAUUGCCAUCAUCCGGGUUUGGGGAUCGGGAAUCUCAUCCUCAUACGGGCUGUAUGCCGGCUGGUCAAGACCAUAACCCGGCUCGUGUGGCUGGUAAGGGCCAUGCCCACUGGCAUAGGCAUCUUGUGGGUAGGCACUUUGUGGUUCCUGUGCAGGGUCAGAUUCCGGG